AUUGAACGCUGACGGCAGGCCUAACACAUGCAAGUCGAACGAACGGCGGACGGGUGAGCAAUUUCUGGGAAACUGCCUGAUGGAGGGGGCUAACUACUGGAAACGGUAGCUAAUACCGCAUACCGUCAUCUGGACCCAUAUGGGGUUAGCUUGUUGGUGUGGUAACGGCUCACCAAGGCGACGAUCCCUAGCUGGUCUGAGAGGAUGAACAGCCACACUUGAACUGAGACACGGUCCAGACUCCUAUGGGAGGCAGCAGUGGGGAAUAUUGCACAAUGGGCGCAAGCCUGAUGCAGCCAUGCCGCGUGUAUGAAGAAGGCCUUAGGGUUGUAAAGUACUUUCAGCGGGGAGGCGUUACCCACAGAAGAAGCACCGGCGAACUCCGUGCCAGCAGCCGCGGUAAUAC
rnacentral:rRNA from 1 species